AGAGAAGCUUGCUUCUCUGCUGACGAGUGGCGCACGGGUGAGUAAUAUAUAGAUAACGUGCCUCUUAGUCUGGGAUAGCCAUUGGAAACGAUGAUUAAUACUAGAUACUCCUUCUCCUUCUAAUUGGAGUUGGGAAAGUUUUUCGCUAAGAGAUCGGUCUAUAUCCCAUCAGUUAGUUGGUAGUGUAAGAGACUACCAAGGCAAUGACGGGUAGCGGGUUUGAGAGGAUGAUCCGCCACACUGGUACUGAGACACGGACCAGACUCCUACGGGAGGCAGCAGUGAGGAAUAUUGCACAAUGGAGGAAACUCUGAUGCAGCAACGCCGCGUGGAGGAUGACGCAUUUCGGUGUGUAAACUCCUUUUAUAAGGGAAGAAAAUGACGGUACCUUAUGAAUAAGCACCGGCUAACUCCGUGCCAGCAGCCGCGGUAAUACGGAGGGUGCAAGCGUUACUCGGAAUCACUGGGCGUAAAGGACACGUAGGCGGGAUGCCAAGUCUGAUGUGAAAUCCUACAGCUUAACUGUAGAACUGCAUUGGAAACUGGUAACCUAGAGUAUGGGAGGGGGAGAUGGAAUUAGUGGUGUAGGGGUAAAAUCCG
rnacentral:rRNA from 1 species